CCUACGGGAGGCAGCAGUGGGGAAUCUUGCGCAAUGGGCGAAAGCCUGACGCAGCCAUGCCGCGUGGAUGAUGAAGGUCUUAGGAUUGUAAAAUCCUUUCACCGGUGAAGAUAAUGACUGUAGCCGGAGAAGAAGCCCCGGCUAACUUCGUGCCAGCAGCCGCGGUAAUACGAAGGGGGCUAGCGUUGCUCGGAAUUACUGGGCGUAAAGGGAGCGUAGGCGGACAUUUAAGUCAGAGGUGAAAUCCCGGAGCUUAACUUCGGAACUGCCUUUGAUACUGGGUGUCUUGAGUGUGAGAGAGGUAUGUGGAACUCCGAGUGUAGAGGUGAAAUUCGUAGAUAUUCGGAAGAACACCAGUGGCGAAGGCGACAUACUGGCUCAUUACUGACGCUGAGGCUCGAAAGCGUGGGGAGCAAACAGGAUUAGAUACCCUGGUAGUCCACGCCGUAAACGAUGAUUGCUAGUUGUCGGGAAGCUUGCUUCUCGGUGACGCAGCUAACGCAUUAAGCAAUCCGCCUGGGGAGUACGGUCGCAAGAUUAAAACUCAAAGAUAGUGACGNGNGAGAGCGACGACGACGACGACGGAGGAGAGG
rnacentral:rRNA from 1 species